AUGUUGCUUACCUUCUCACUGGACCGAAGAGAAGAAAGCAGCAUAUUAAAAGCUCAUUUUCAAGCCAUUCCUAAAAUCAUGUGUGGUGGUCAUUUUAUCUCCUGGAACGGGACACUGAGUUCCCCUUAUUACCCGAGUUACUACCCACCAAACAUUGACUGCAGCUGGAUCAUCAGAGCACCAUUGCCUGGCUACAAGCUCUCAUUAAAAAUCCUUAUAAUACAAAUCCAAGAGAAGUCUCCAGGGUCCAGUAAAUGUGAUAAAGACUGGUUAGAAAUCGAUGGGGUUAGGUGAGUAAAUACACUAUUUUCAGACACGUUAAUUUGCAUUUCAGUGUUCUGCGCAACAUACUGUACUUAAGAAAAAAUGUCUUGCCACUUCCAGUGCAGAAAGAUACAUUUCAACAAAAAUUGGCAUGCUUCCACUGAAUUUCAGUAGGGUAUUGUUUUUAAUCCUGCCCUGAACAUUUGUCAUUACAUUAAUUAAAGCAUCCUGCUUUUCCUACCCUGUUAGGCACUUACUUUGUUGUUCCCCUUAAGAGCAAUGACAUAGUAAACUGCAGGAUUUUAUGCAGCUGCAGCUGAACUGUAAAUUCCUGGCAAUGGUCUUGACAUGGGGGAAGAGCUCGUGUCAUGUGAAGUUUCAUUUUCUAUACUUCUUACUUUUCAGUGAUUGUAAUUGUUUUCUGUAAAUAAGAAAAAUUGCAAUGUAUGUGCUUAAAACAAAAACCACUGCCCACCCCUCAAAAAACCCCAACAACAAAACAACCAAAAAACCCCAACAACCAAAACCCCAACCAACCAACCAAAUCAAUCAAACCUCCCAAAAACCAGCAUUCAGAAUAAUUUGUCUCUUGGAAGGACUGUACUGAAACAAGAAACAACUGUUGGAUUUGGCUGUGUGAUUCCAUUGGUGGGCUUUGGAUUUGCAGGUUUAAAUGGGAAAUCUGAAAUCAAGCAUGCUUAGAAGCUGCCUGUAUUUAUGAGGUAGAAUCUGCCAUCCAUUAUCUUGCUGUAUUUUGUUUCAAAGCCUGCUAUUCCCAGAAAAGUUGUGGAGUAGAAGGCCUUUAGAAAUAGGCUAACAUUUCUGUUGGGCUGUUUUUAACCCUAAAAAAAAAAAAGUAAUAAAGAAAUCCUGAUCUUUAUUGUACUGUUUUAAAGAUUUUUGGCAUUGGUACCUCUCAGUAGAAGGAGAGGUAGCUGGAUGGUAAUUAUCAGUUUGGUUAGAAAUUAAUUAUUCUCACUUUUGCCUUGCUAGAUACUGUAAAGCUCUUUCAGAAAACAACAGAAACAGAGAAUAUGGCUAUUCUGUCGCCAUCAGCUUCCAUUCCGAUGAACUGGUCACCCACAGAGGCUUUUACAUUGAAUACAAAGCCUUCAGUCACACAGACCGUAAGUGAAUAAGUACAUACUUUAAUUUCUUAGGAGAAAUCUUCAAUAAGCCAUGCUUGACAGACCAACCACGUACUUUUUUAAUUAACCUAAGGGCAAGAGACUAAUGUUUAAAAUGUUAUUAUGUAUUUAAUUGAACAAAUAGAUGUACGAAAUUAGAUAAAAGAUACUUUUAGAAGCUAGUACUUAUUUGCUAACUUCUAACAACACUUCUGUAAGUAAAAGUAAAAUUUCCCAAUUUCUGCAGAUCUAAUUAUUUGACAUUUUGCUAACAUCUUAAAAUAGCCAAGCUGCAACAUGAAAGUAGUAUGGCAGAGAGCCUCUAGGCAUAACACUUUUGCCAACAGGACUUAACCAUGAAUAAUCAGUCGUCUUUUUAAAAUCACAACUCAGCGUGCUCUGGAUCAGCUUCCAGGUUUAGGCACACCAUUGAAGUUUUCACUGGGAGUCAGUAAGGACCCCUUGCUUGCAAGUGUUGCAGAAAUAUGGCUGGGUUUCUUAGAGCCCCUUUCCUGACUUCCCAUUCUAUGCACUUCUGGAUCAGUGUUAGAUUUUGGGAGGGCUUCCAAAGGGUGGAACAGAGAUUUUCAGGGGAUACACGUAUUUACUCGUGAUAAUCUUUAAAAAUGAUACAUCUGCGAUACAUGGUUGUAAAUGCCUCCCCUUCCCUUUACCCAGUGAAUAUCUAGGUGGCUAAAAUUCUGUGUGAUUUCAAGAGAUUAGUUCAGUUGUGAAACCUCUUCGGAUCCUCACCGUGCUUGACUGAGUGUAGUACUGUUCCUUGCUGACUUAAAGUGUUUAUGAGAUCUCUGGCACAGAUUCUUGCUUCAUGCCUUUCAUGAGAAAUAAGUGGCAGACUUUGUGGUCAGCCAUUCUAUAGGACUCAGAUAUCUUCAGGGAUUUCUUCUUCCACCCACAUGUGUCUCUUUCUACUGAAAAAAGUCACACACUCUGCUGUGUUCUAUGGUUACUCUGGUUACUGCCUCAAAACCAGUUCAGAGACAAGCCAAAGCCCCAAAAUACUUUUUAACAGAAAAAAUCCCCAGUCUUUAUCGCAUGCACAAGUCUUCACUUUCUGCGUGCUCUGCUCUGUUUCUAGCACUGAGGCAGCAAGCAGAUGGCUCAAAGUCACGUAAUCAAUCCUUAGUCACAAUUUUAAGGAAUCUUAUUAAGACUCACCAGGAGGGGUAGAUUAACUGUGAUGUCAGUAUCAAGUCGAUGCAGUAAAGACAUUUGUGGAGGCUAUCUGAGAGAGCAGCAUGGAUUGAGAGCACUGGUCUUCCACUACAGCCUUGCCUGUAGCAAUAGUAAGAGGGAGGGGGGAAAAAACUUAAUAAAUUUAAUUUUCUGUGUACCUGCAGUCACCUACCUUCUUGGUGGGCUUCUUGCCAUUGUUGGGAGCCUACAAAAGCAUGCUUAUUAAAAAUCACAGGUGCUGCUCUGAUCUGACCUGGAAAGCAUGACCUGAAUAACUUCAGGGAAUGGUGAAUAGAACACAGGGAGACGCCUGCUCCGAGCUAGGCUGGCCGCAUAGCAUGUGCCUCCCCCUGGCAUCACAUGCAAGGCAGUGAAGAGGACUAAAUGACUUUAGAUUGGAAGUGAUUAAAGAAAUGUGGGACAAAUGCGCUUGGUCCUUCAAUCUGAUUUAACUGUUAAUUUGCAUGUGCUGCUAGAGGGGAAAAAGUUUAAGUUGGCUUGACCUGGACAGAAAGAGGAGCUUUUAGCUUCUUAUCCUUCCAUACAUUACCUAUUUUUGGUUUUUUUGUUUGGUUGAUGUUGGUUUGGUUUGGUUUGGUUUUUUUGCUGGCACAUCUGAAAAAGUGGAGGAGAACAAACAUUUUUUAUAUGUUGCAAAGAAACACCUUAGCAUCAAUACUA
ensembl:lncRNA